rnacentral:misc_RNA from 1 species
GAUGAAGAACGUAGCGAAAUGCGAUAAGUAAUGUGAAUUGCAGAAUUCAGUGAAUCAUCGAAUCUUUGAACGCCCAUUGCGCCCCCUGGUAUUCCGGGGGGCAUGCCUGUUCGAGCGUCAUUUCAACCCUCAAGCUCUGCUUGGUAUUGAGUCCAUGUCAGCAAUGGCAGGCUCCAAAAUCAGUGGCGGCGCCGCUGGGUCCUGAACGUAGUAAUAUCUCUCGUUACAGGUGCUCGGCGUGCUUCUGCCAAAACCCCAAUUUUUCUAUGGUUGACCUCGGAUCAGGUAGGGAUACCCGCUGAACUUAAGCAUAUCAAUAAGCGGAGGA